GACAAGUGUGCCAGGUACCGGGAUCAGAAGUGUAUUUGAGCCCCGCCACUUGCUGCCGCCAUGGUCGCUGCGCUCUUGCUUCACCCGCUCUACAAUCUUGCACAGAAUAGGACCUCAGUAACUCUCUCUCUCGAAUGAUUAUAUGCUUGUUGGAUGAUGCUUGGGAGUCCGUGUGAAGAUUUUUUUUCCCCUGCCUUUCCCCACUUCUUUACUAUGCCCUUUCUCUUCCUUUCCUCCAGCCUGGGUUUCAGUUUACCUGUGGCAUUGAUUUUUCUUGUCUGUAGACACUUCCUUUCACUGGUUCACGAUAAUUUUACAUGUGGGCUGUGGAAACUUGCUAGAUGUCAAGAAAGAGCCAAUCCAUUGCAUGCUAGUAUUUUUAGAGUGCAUUAUUGUUUUAUCGAUUGAAAUUAAAUCAGGGUGACCCCCUGAGCCCUCCCGUGAGCUGUUUUUGCCUUCCUACAGGUGAUAAUGUUCUGGUUGCAGAAUGUGCUCUUUCCCCAGACUUGGUUUUGGAGUUAAGUCACCAUCAGUGGAGCCCUCUCUUUAAAAGAUGAAGAAAACAUUUGCUCCUUCUCCCUGGUUGGGGACUUGGAUGAGAUGAGGUAACAGAUAAAGAAUGGAGCCCCACCUCAUUCUAACACCCGCUCGUUCCGUUCCUUUCUCCACGGAAAAAGAGUACAAUUCAACACUAUAAAGAUUGAUUGUGAGCAAAUGAGAUAGACAGGACAACCGAUCAUUUAUUAAAUAUACUUUCAUGCCAGAAACAAAUGUAUUAUACACACAAAAAGCACACAAAGCACGGUAGUACCGUGAUUACAAACGUGGGUCCGAGUUCGAGUCCUGCUCUGGAGUGACCAGUCCUGUGAGAUGGAGAACUGGUAGGUCGGCUUAGCCUCUCCCGGGCUUGUUUUCUGUCCUGCAGAGAUGGGGCUCGCUAGGCGUCCCUCCCCCAUAGAGGUGCUGUAAGGUGUAAAUGAUGCGCGUGGGCAGCCCGAGCACAGCUGCUCGUUCCUCGUAAGUGCAGGAGGGCAUAGCUUUUGUGGUGAAGGCUUUAUAACAGCCCCGUGUAGACUCUCAGUGCUCCGAAGGGAUGCCUUGUGGUUUGGAGAUGGGAUUCUCAUUUCUGUAAAUACCCAAGGAUUGUGUAAUUGGGCCCUGCUGAUUUGAAUCUAUUCUUUUGAAAGUACAUAUUGUAGAUAUAUUUUUCAAGCAUGCAUGCUUUUUUUUUUAUUAUUUAUAGUUCUACCCUCUCUCUUGGUGUGACAUUUCAUGGAAUCCAGGAAACAGCCCUAAGCCACCUGCCUCUUCACACGUCUCCGUGGCAGUUUUCUUCCCUGACUAGAAGAGGGUUCUGCAUAGGGAAUUUUCUUUGUUCCCCUUUUCUUGGAGUCUCUCUGUCUGUCUGCCCACCUCUCACCUGUCCAACUGUCCAUUUCUCUACCCACUCAUUCUUCUGACUUGUUCCAAAAAGCAUUUCAGGCAGCUUACAGAAGAACAGAUACCAAAUAAACAGGUGAGAAAAUGGGGCCAAGUUCAGACAGUGAGGCUAGGAGGCGAGCCUGUGUGAGGGUGGCAGGCAUGAGAGACACGCGUCUGCCCUGUGACUUAUAAGAUCGACAGCAAGAGUGUGCCUGAGGCUCCCAGCAGACACAGGGAAUCAGGGUUUGUGGGAGAUGCUCACUGGCUGUGAAAUAAAUAAGUGGCUGAGGAGAAGCCCAGCCUUUCCAGCUACUAAGGCUUAGGAGAAUAUUUUGAGUGUCUUCAACAUCAGAGUAUUUCAUCUUUUCUUUUGUCAGAGUUCUACAUAUAGUUGGUUACAUUCUGUACCUGGAAAUUUCUACAAAAUUUCUUCCCACGUGAGUCCCAUGACUCGGGAAUGGGGUGGUUCUGCUCAUUGACUGGGGUUGGCCAGAAACCGAAAAUGACAGCUUCAAAGGAGCCUGGGAUUUGUCAGUUAUGUUUUGUCAGUACUGUAGAGUUCAAAAAAUGCUUUCACAGUAUCUCUCCAUCUGAGGCGGCAGCGUGCUCUCUUACCAGCAUCAGGAGCUCAGGGCCACGGGAUGGUGGGGGCUGACUGCAUUGCCGUCAAGACAGCUGAGCUAGUCACUGCAGGUGCCCUCACCUCCAGUAGCAUCCAUCCAGACACCGGAACUGACACUGGCCGUGCUCAGAACUGCCUCAGCCCUGAAGACACAACUGACAAAUAGAAGGGGGCCACGCCCUGUUACAGCAGGUGCUCUCACUUUGUGGAUCCUUAUGUAACUGAGCGGUGUUAAUCAGGAUUGCCCGUUUUACAUUGUGUGGCGCUGCUGCGGUGUCUCCUAGUUACUUGUUUCUCUGGCUUUAUUCACUCAGGGGUAUAUCAUGGACGUCCUCCCACUCCAGACUCACCCGGCCCUUUCAGAUAGAUUGGAGGGGUCUCCUGAUGUGCGGGUGUCGUCUCUCGUCCACGGACACAUUUGGUGGGAGAGUGCUGUGGACAAGGCCCUGGACCACGGUGAAACGCCAGCUCCCUCAGUGCCCGCAGCUCACCUUGAUUUACCGCAUCAUUGUCUUGAUGGUGGACAGUUAAGUUUUCUCCACUUUCCACUGUCAGAAAGAAUGUUUGAGUUGCAUCCUUCUUGUACAGACAUUCCUGUGAUCUUGUAUGUGUAUUCCUUUAGUUAAGGCUUCUGGAAAUUUAGUCCCUGGAUGUGACAUUUACAUUCAUCACAGACUCCUUCAAGUGACUAGAAAUUCCUUCUCCAUUGGGGAAUGAAAAAAUGCACAAUUACUUAUGUAACCAAUUCUCUAUCGCUGGAUAUGAUUUCACUUCAGUUUUUCUUCCCACCUUUGUAAACAGUGCUGUGUAAAUGCCCUGAUGGGUACAUCUUUUUGGACUGAUUUUUUUUUCCUAAAGGAAACGAUUCCUAGAAGUGGGGUUGAGUCAGUGUGUAUGUACGUUUUUCAGAGCUUACAAAUCCAUUGAUAUGUCAUCCUCUGAAAAAGUCGCUCAUGAUUUGUUCUCCCACAGAUGGACACUAGCUAGAAUAUCUUAAAAAUAUUUGCCAAUAUGAUGAGCAAAAUUGCUUUUUCAUUGUUUUUGUUUGCAUUUGAUGACCAGUGAAGUUUUGAGCAUUUUUCACUCAUUAGCCAUUUGACUUUUUUAAAAUGAAUGAUUCCUUUUGUCCUUUGCCCACAUUUAAGUGAGGGAGCUUCUUGUUGCUUUGUGACAGCUUUUUGUAUGUUAUGAAAAUUAACUUCGUGAAUUCAUCAACAUGUAUCACAGAGCUUUUUCUUGUCAUUUCUUUCCUUUCAUUUUUGUUGUGGCUCAAACUAUUCUUAGGAUAGUAAAUGUCUUCCUUAUGGGUUUUAUCUUUGACAUUAUUCUUAGAAAUACUCUCUUAUAAUGGAAUAAAUCUCUUCUGUAGGUUUUUUUAAUCUCUAAGAUGGAGAUUAUAAUAGUACAUGUUAUAGUGAGGAGAAGUUGAGUUAAUAAGAGCAAAGAGUUGUAUUUGCUGUUACUAGUACUUUUUAAUAUUUACAUCACUAUCUGCAAUUUAUCUUGUGGUCAUUAUGACAGGAAUGGAAUUUAUUCUUUCCAGGUGAUUCUCUGUCCCAGGACAAUUAUCGAAUUCAUAAUUUUCUCUUUGAUUUGAAAUCCCACCUGUACAAAAUACUUACAUACACUAGAGUCUCUUUUUGAGCUCAUGGUUCCCUUCUGUCAAUCUCCUUUCCUUACUCCAGCACCAUAUCUUACAUAUUGUAAAAAUUUAUUUAAUAACUGGCAGUCUGAUUUUUUUUGAUUCUUUUCUUCCAUCCCAAAUUUUCUUGUCAAGUAUUAUGACUUUAUUAUUCCUGAAGAAUUCCAAAAUAUUUUGUUCAAGUUAAAAAAAAUCAGAUUGGAAUUUUCAUGGGAUUUUUUAGUAAGUUUUGAAUUAUUCUUAGGAGAACUUACAUCUUUACAAAACUGCUUUUCUCCAUGCAGUAUGUUUAUGUCUCUACAUUCAUACCUCUUACUUUAACCCUCAGUACAGUCCUGAAGUUUCUCCAUUUAGAAUAUGGGCAUUAUUUUUGAAUUUAUUCCAGAUUAUUAUUUAUGUUUUUGUUAAUUUUGUAAGUGAGAAUUUUUUGCUAUUAUAUUUUUAAAUGCUUAAAACUGACAUUUAGAAAGGAAGAUUCGGUUUGUCAAUACUCACUUUGUAACUUGUCAUUUAAAAUUAUAAGUAUUAAGUACUUGUUCCAGAAUCCUUUCUUUUCUGUUUUUAAAAAUUUGUUUCCAAGAUUCUCAAAAUGUUCAUAGCUAAGUAGUAUAGGUGGGGACACAGAUGGAGAGAGGUAGUGUGGCUCACGUACAAACUGUGAGCACUUUCAUGGCUGCCUUUAGGCUGGAGAAGCUGAAGAAGAGCCCAGGUUAGACCAAGGGUGGCUUUGUAUGCACUUGAAAGCCAGCUUUCCUGCCUGUGUGGUGAAGCCUGGUGGGUGUGGCAGGUAGGUGAUCAAGGUCUGUUCAAGGUCAUUGGCUGCACAGAGCGCUGUGUCUGUGAGAACUGGAGACCAUUACCAUGGGAAAUGCUUGGUGCCAGGAACACUGCAGGGGAGCUGGGGAGCCUGUGUGUUAAGGAUUUUCCAGCCCUGGGAGUGGGAAGAUGAGACUCUGCAUUCAGAUCUGAGUUUGAAUUCAUCCUCUCUUGUUUACUGGUCCUCUGACUUUUGUCAAGUUAUCUACCCGCUUUGAACUCCUGUUUUCUUGUCUCUCAAAACAGGAGAAUUACAGCCUGCUGCUAGAGUGUUUGAUCAGGAUAAAUGAUUUGUGUCUAUAAGAUGCCACGUACAGUCACAAUCUCAGUGAGAAAUGGGCUGUCGCCUCUUCUUCUGCAACUCAGUGCUCGAUAAGACAUCGGGGGAAAGCCAGUCCCUAAUUUGUAUGUGAUGCAAUGAGGAACAAAAUUAACAUCUUGCCUUUCCCUAGCAGUAUUCUUACUUCUUUGCUUCAUUUACCUCUUUCCUCCUUUACUCUCCCCUUUCACCUCCUCCACCAAAAGAGACUGAGUCUGUCUCAGAACACUACAUUCAAAUUACUUUAAAUGUUGGCUCAUCCCCAUGAAAUUACAGUGAAAUUAAAAAUAAUCUGUACACGUCCCAGACAUGAUUAUAUUUGAUUUACACACACACACACACACACACACACACACACACACAAUCAGGCUACCUCCCAUUUGCUGAGGGAGAAGGACCACUUUUUCUGAGUUUUCAUUCACUGAGCGUGAGAGCAAAGUCUCUUAAGCAGAAAUUCGCCUGGCUUCUUGCAUGGUUUUUUAAAUUGGAUUUCUGCUUUGUGUCCACAGAAAUAGUCUCCUGUUAGAAGAGGGGAAGUGGAGACAUAGAUAUUCUGCUGAGAUAUUGGUGUCAUCAUAUUUGAGUUGGAAAGGACAUACGACAGCAUAGAGUCGUAACUUUUUAUGGGUGAGAAUCCAUGAUAGUGUAACUUGGACAAGAACCCGGGUCUUCUGUCUUCAUGUCCACGUGGAUAAAGAGGCAACUGAGUGGGGGAUGGCAGGGAUCCUUGCUUGAGUUCCGGGGUCUUGCUAGUUUCCAUUGUUCAGCUGCCUUUAGUUUAUGUCCAUGUGGCCUCUCAUGGGAAGGUCACUCUAUCCUGAUAGAUUGAGUUUCUAAUCAGCAAAAAGGUCUGGACCCACUCAUGGUUCCCAGAGAUUUUCUGCUGACCUGCUGACACUUUAUAUACAUGAGACCUAAGAAACUGCUGGAUAUAAAAUCCUUAUUGUUAUCAUUUGCCCUCGAGUUCCACAGGAAUGGGGUGCUGUCUCAGGCUGUCUAAGGCCAGCUCUGAACAAAGAUAGGGUGAUAGGCUGUGCAGCUGGACACUCCCCAGUCGAAUGGGAUUUCCACCUUAGUUUUUAGAAUCAGGCAGAUUAGUUCAAAUCUUACCUUUACCACUUAUUAGCUUUGUGACCUUGAGGAAGAAACUUUACUUUUUUGGGGACAAAUUUUCUUUAUCUGUAAAUAAGUUCAGUAUUUAUUUUAGGGUUUUUGUUUUAGAAUUGAAUGAGCUAAUUCCCUCAUAUAUUCCUAAAAUACUGAUCACAUGGUUCUAUGCUGGUGACUUAGUGGUUGAUUACUAAGGGACUCAGUAGUGAGAAUGUGGGUGAGGCUCCCUGGAUAAUAGAGCUUAUAUUCCGUGAUAUGCUUGUAAAAGACUGGAUUGCAGUGGAUUUUUAGUAAAUGUCCAUUCCUUUCCUAAUCCCCAUUGAUUGUGUAUAUAUCUUUAUACUAAUAUAUGAACAAUUUUUUAUUGAAAUUUAAGUCUUUUUGUAGUAUUUAAAGUAUGUAGCUAUAACAAAAAUACGUGAAAUAAAAUUAUUUGACUUUUAUUUUCUUUUCAAUAAGCAAAACAAAAUAAAAUAGAAAAGAAAAGAAAAAGUUUUGAAGGAGUAGAAAUAAUUUUAUUUCCGUGGAAUCGACUCCCUAUGUUAGGUUUUUCGGUUGUGUUCUUAAACAGCAUAUAAAAUUGACAGGUUUUGACUUCAGUGUUGAUAGCUGGGUGAGUAUAGUUUCUUUUUGUGGUUGUCUUUGAUGAAUUAUUUGCACUAGAUCAUAAAUAAUGUGCAUGUUACAUAUUGGAAAUGAGGAAACAGUGGAGACAUACUACCUCCAAUGCAGUCAUUUUGUUACCGAGUCCAAACUCAUUCUGCUCACCAAAUGACAGGCCAAUAAACUGGGAGAUGAGGUGUUGGAGCAAGGAAUAGUGACUUUAUUUGCAAAGCUGGCAGACCCAGAAAAUGGCAGACUGAUGUCCUGGAGAACCAUCUUUCCCAAGUCAGAAUUGAGUCUCCUUUUAUACUAAAAAGGGGCGGGGCUGCAGUUGGUUGUUGGAAACUUCUUGUUGUAUGAAUGGCUUGUCCUUUGAAUCUGCUGUUCUUACAGCUGUCCAUGUGGAUCAAAUCAUGUUGCCCCUGUAAAACCUCCAAAAAUAAAACAAAGUUAUUCUCUAUUUUGCAACUUGCCAUCUCUACAUAAGUGCAGAUUAGUUAGCAUCCUUCAAGAUCACGGCCAGGAGAAGAGGCUGUCCUGGAUAUUUCAGUCUAAAGGCAACUUUCUUUUACAAAUGGUGCAGAGAUAGCAAGUCUGAGCCUAGAAAACAGGGCACAGGGUUAAAGCCAAAGGAACAGACCUAACAUGGGGUCAAAAUUGUUCUUUUCUAUUACAAUUCCCUUUUCCGCUUCAUAGAUAAUUUUAGUAAGAAACAUGAGCAAUUUUGUAUUUUUGCUUCUUAAUAACCGAUAAGUGGGCCAACUAUAUUUUUGUGAGCAGGGAUGCUGUGCGGGCAUAGGGGCCACAGCAAACUCUUGUUGGGGGUGGCCGACCCUGGAACAUGUCUGAUGCCCCGUGAGUGUUGGUGAGGGUCCCCCUAGCCAGCGGCUCUCUUCAGGAGCCAGCAUAUGGGCAUUGAUAUCUGGAGACCUCAUUUUCGGCUGCAGGAAAUUUUUUAGAUACUGCGAUUGAAAAAUCACUCCAGCUGGGGAUAAUUCGGGAAAAAAGGAAAAGGAAAAGGGUUUGGAGUAGAGUAGAAGAGAAGGACAUCAGAUCACGGAGCCUGAGUGCUUGGCAGCGGGGCUUCGGGGGAGAGGGGAGCAGACGUGGGGAGGGGCCUGGCCCCAGAACCAGCUCCUGCACCUGUCCCCGUGCCCAAGCCACAUAGCUUUUAAUUGGGCCACCUCUCUGGGCUGGAUGUCACCCUGGGCAGAACCUUGAGAAUCGAAGGUAAGGGGUGGGCAGCACUCACCUAGGGGGUCACUGUGGAUUUCGGUCAAGUCCACAGUGCCUUUUCUGGUCAUGUGUCUUCACUUGUCCUUUAUCUCAGGAUCUGAGGAGGAGGAGAAAGGAACUCAGGUAGAGAUCCAGGAAGAUAUCCGACUGUGUUAAGAGAGGACAGACACAGUGACACGGGGAGCGAGGACACUUGCAGCAAAGUAAAAUUACUUCACAACUAUUGCUUCAGAGUUGCAGGUGUGAGAGAGCCUAAGCCUGUCUCAGAGUGCAGGGGACAAGUGGAAAGGAAUGGCAAAAUUUCCACUGAAAAUUGAAAUUUUGUUAAAUAGCCUUCUACUGUUGCUUGUAUCACUUGAAUGAAUGCAGGCAUAUUUCUGUGGGCAUUUAUAGGUUCACUCAACCCCACCAGCCCCUCUUGCCCCCAUCGGGGAUGGGAUUUCUCAAGCACAGUGCCCCUCCUGCUUGGGUGGGCCACGCUGCGUGUCCUCGCCUGGGGCCGGGCUGCUGCAGGGCACUGAGUCCCCGAGGCGCGGCCUGGGAGACACGACAGGAAUAUCUCUGCUCUCGACUGAGGGCCUCCUUUUCC